rnacentral:rRNA from 1 species
CCUACGGGAGGCAGCAGUGGGGAAUCUUCCGCAAUGGGCGAAAGCCUGACGGAGCAACGCCGCGUGAUCGAAUGAAGGCCUUCGGGUUGUAAAGAUCUGUUGACAGGGACUAAUAAGCCACGCGAAUAGUUUGGUGCAUGACGGUACCUGUUUAGAAAGCUCCGGCUAACUACGUGCCAGCAGCCGCGGUAAUACGAAGGGAGCAAGCGUUGUCCGGAUUGACUGUGCGUAAAGGGCGCGUAGGUUGGUGCUUAAGUCAGGUGUGAAAACUCUGGGCUCAACCUGUAGACUGCACUUGAAACUGGGUAUCUUGAGGGCAGGAGAGGAAAGUGGAAUUCGUAGUGUAGCGGUGAAAUGCUUAGAUAUUAGGAGGAACCCCAGUGGCGAAGGCGACUUUCUGGACUGUACCUGACGCUGAGGCGCGAAAGCGUGGGUAGCGAACGGGAUUAGAUACCCUAGUAGUC